rnacentral:misc_RNA from 1 species
GCAAACUUGGUCAUUUAGAGGAAGUAAAAGUCGUAACAAGGUUUCCGUAGGUGAACCUGCGGAAGGAUCAUUAUAUGGCCCAGUACCACCGGCCGUCUUGAAAAGGACAUCCCCGGACAGCCCUGGCAAGGCUGAUCGGGGCGCUGGCGCCAAGUAUUGGUCGGUCUAUGUCCUCGUGUCUAGUACGCACGCGAUCGUGCGGAAUGUCAGCCCCGCCGUCCACCCCCCAAAGUGCUCCCGCCCGGAGCGGACGGUUCCCCCAAAGUGAGGCGCGGCACCCAAAAGCCGCCGAGACAUAUUCGGGAAUCCUUGACUAUGAGUACUUGUGUUGAUUCCUUCGGCGGAUCUGUCCGCCGACUGGAACCCCCAUAAACCCUUUUUUACAAGCAUCAAUUCUUCUGAUACCAACGUAAAUCGUUACAACUUUCAACAAUGGAUCUCUUGGUUCUGGCAUCGAUGAAGAACGCAGC